UACGUAGGGUGCGAGCGUUAAUCGGAAUUACUGGGCGUAAAGCGUGCGCAGGCGGCGCGUUAAGACAGGUGUGAAAGCCCCGAGCUUAACUUGGGAAUUGCGCUUGUGACUGGCGUGCUGGAGUGUGGCAGAGGGAGGUGGAAUUCCACGUGUAGCAGUGAAAUGCGUAGAUAUCUGGAGGAAUACCGGUGGCGAAGGCGGCAUCCUGGACCGGCAUUGACGCUGAUGAGCGAAAGCUAGGGGAGCAAACGGG
rnacentral:rRNA from 1 species